GGGUUGUGAGGUUAAGCGACUAAGCGUACACGGUGGAUGCCCUGGCAGUCAGAGGCGAUGAAGGACGUGCUAAUCUGCGAAAAGCGUCGGUAAGGUGAUAUGAACCGUUAUAGCCGGCGAUGUCCGAAUGGGGAAACCCAGUGCAAUUCGUUGCACUAUCGUUAACUGAAUACAUAGGUUAACGAGGCGAACCGGGGGAACUGAAACAUCUAAGUACCCCGAGGAAAAGAAAUCAACCGAGAUUCCCCCAGUAGCGGCGAGCGAACGGGGAGCAGCCCAGAGUCUGAAUCAGCUUGUGUGUUAGUGGAACGGUCUGGAAAGUCCGACGGUACAGGGUGAUAGUCCCGUACACCAAAAUGCACAGGCUGUGAACUCGAAGAGUAGGGCGGGACACGUGGUAUCCUGUCUGAAUAUGGGGGGACCAUCCUCCAAGGCUAAAUACUCCUGACUGACCGAUAGUGAACCAGUACCGUGAGGGAAAGGCGAAAAGAACCCCGGCGAGGGGAGUGAAAAAGAACCUGAAACCGUGUACGUACAAGCAGUGGGAGCACCUUCGGGUGUGACUGCGUACCUUUUGUAUAAUGGGUCAGCGACUUAUAUUCUGUAGCAAGGUUAACCGUAUAGGGGAGCCGCAGGGAAACCGAGUCUUAACUGGGCGUUAAGUUGCAGGGUAUAGACCCGAAACCCGGUGAUCUAGCCAUGGGCAGGUUGAAGGUUGGGUAACACUAACUGGAGGACCGAACCGACUAAUGUUGAAAAAUUAGCGGAUGACUUGUGGCUGGGGGUGAAAGGCCAAUCAAACCGGGAGAUAGCUGGUUCUCCCCGAAAGCUAUUUAGGUAGCGCCUCGUGAACUCAUCUUCGGGGGUAGAGCACUGUUUCGGCUAGGGGGUCAUCCCGACUUACCAACCCGAUGCAAACUACGAAUACCGAAGAAUGUUAUCACGGGAGACACACGGCGGGUGCUAACGUCCGUCGUGAAGAGGGAAACAACCCAGACCGCCAGCUAAGGUCCCAAAGUCAUGGUUAAGUGGGAAACGAUGUGGGAAGGCACAGACAGCCAGGAUGUUGGCUUAGAAGCAGCCAUCAUUUAAAGAAAGCGUAAUAGCUCACUGGUCGAGUCGGCCUGCGCGGAAGAUGUAACGGGGCUAAACCAUGCACCGAAGCUGCGGCAGCGACACUAUGUGUUGUUGGGUAGGGGAGCGUUCUGUAAGCCUGCGAAGGUGACCUGUGAGGGUUGCUGGAGGUAUCAGAAGUGCGAAUGCUGACAUAAGUAACGAUAAAGCGGGUGAAAAGCCCGCUCGCCGGAAGACCAAGGGUUCCUGUCCAACGUUAAUCGGGGCAGGGUGAGUCGACCCCUAAGGCGAGGCCGAAAGGCGUAGUCGAUGGGAAACAGGUUAAUAUUCCUGUACUUGGUGUUACUGCGAAGGGGGGACGGAGAAGGCUAUGUUAGCCGGGCGACGGUUGUCCCGGUUUAAGCAUGUAGGCUGGUUAUCCAGGCAAAUCCGGAUAAUCAAGGCUGAGGUGUGAUGACGAGGCACUACGGUGCUGAAGUAACAAAUGCCCUGCUUCCAGGAAAAGCCUCUAAGCAUCAGGUAACAUCAAAUCGUACCCCAAACCGACACAGGUGGUCAGGUAGAGAAUACCAAGGCGCUUGAGAGAACUCGGGUGAAGGAACUAGGCAAAAUGGUGCCGUAACUUCGGGAGAAGGCACGCUGGUGUGUAGGUGAAGUCCCUGCGGAUGGAGCUGAGACCAGUCGAAGAUACCAGCUGGCUGCAACUGUUUAUUAAAAACACAGCACUGUGCAAACACGAAAGUGGACGUAUACGGUGUGACGCCUGCCCGGUGCCGGAAGGUUAAUUGAUGGGGUUAUCCGUAAGGAGAAGCUCUUGAUCGAAGCCCCGGUAAACGGCGGCCGUAACUAUAACGGUCCUAAGGUAGCGAAAUUCCUUGUCGGGUAAGUUCCGACCUGCACGAAUGGCGUAAUGAUGGCCAGGCUGUCUCCACCCGAGACUCAGUGAAAUUGAACUCGCUGUGAAGAUGCAGUGUACCCGCGGCAAGACGGAAAGACCCCGUGAACCUUUACUAUAGCUUGACACUGAACAUUGAGCCUUGAUGUGUAGGAUAGGUGGGAGGCUUUGAAGCGUGGACGCCAGUCUGCGUGGAGCCAACCUUGAAAUACCACCCUUUAAUGUUUGAUGUUCUAACGUUGGCCCCUUACCGGGGUUGCGGACAGUGUCUGGUGGGUAGUUUGACUGGGGCGGUCUCCUCCCAAAGCGUAACGGAGGAGCACGAAGGUUAGCUAAUCCUGGUCGGACAUCAGGAGGUUAGUGCAAUGGCAUAAGCUAGCUUGACUGCGAGCGUGACGGCGCGAGCAGGUGCGAAAGCAGGUCAUAGUGAUCCGGUGGUUCUGAAUGGAAGGGCCAUCGCUCAACGGAUAAAAGGUACUCCGGGGAUAACAGGCUGAUACCGCCCAAGAGUUCAUAUCGACGGCGGUGUUUGGCACCUCGAUGUCGGCUCAUCACAUCCUGGGGCUGAAGUAGGUCCCAAGGGUAUGGCUGUUCGCCAUUUAAAGUGGUACGCGAGCUGGGUUUAGAACGUCGUGAGACAGUUCGGUCCCUAUCUGCCGUGGGCGCUGGAGAAUUGAGGGGGGCUGCUCCUAGUACGAGAGGACCGGAGUGGACGCAUCACUGGUGUUCGGGUUGUCAUGCCAAUGGCACUGCCCGGUAGCUAAAUGCGGAAGAGAUAAGUGCUGAAAGCAUCUAAGCACGAAACUUGCCCCGAGAUGAGUUCUCCCUGAGACUUUAAGUCUCCUGAAGGAACGUUGAAGACGACGACGUUGAUAGGCCGGGUGUGUAAGCGCAGCGAUGCGUUGAGCUAACCGGUACUAAUGAACCGUGAGGCUUAACCUUACAACGCCGAAG
rnacentral:rRNA from 1 species